UUGGCAACUCUCAAGGGAAGUAAAACAAUCAUCGCAUUACUCUACACCACAAUCACUAAAUUCAACAUUACCAAUUGCUAGCUAUUGGAUCGCAAGAAGUGUUGUUACUAAUGCAAUACGUUUUAUCCAUCUUCUUAUGAUGGGAAUCGAGUCCAAAAAUCAGAUAAUAACGGAACUGUCCAAUUUAACUGCCAAAAUCAAAGAUAUAUAAUCACUGCUUGCAACCCACUACUAGAGGAGAAGAAAUCCGAAGAAUCGUAAAAAGCAUUUUUUCAUGUUUCAAACAUUAUUCAGAUAACUGCUUCUAAUCGUCUUGCUUCAACAUGUAAUGAGAAGAUUGGUUUUCUCAUUAAGUUCAGGGAAAGAUAUAAGCUCAUAGAUACAAGGAAUCAUGGAAGAUUGGUGAGAAUACACAUUAAAUUAAAUUAGUUUAUAAUUUUAAGAAAUAAGCUGUGGCUCCUCUGAUGAUGAAUGACCCAUGACCAAAAAAUCAUGGAAAUGUUGGAGAAAAUCAAAUUCUCUCUCAUUAUUUGUUUAGAACUUUAGAUAUAUAGUUCGAAUGGUUUAGGAAAUAUUUGUAAUUUAUUUUUUUAUUGUUGUAAUUAAUAUUAUUCAU